AAAAGAAACUAACAAGGAUUCCCCUAGUAACGGCGAGCGAAGCGGGAAGAGCUCAAAUUUGAAAGCUGGCGUCUUCGGCGUCCGCGUUGUAAUCUCGAGACGUGUUUUCCGUGCGGCUCUAUGGACAAGUCCCUUGGAACAGGGCAUCGUAGAGGGUGAAAAUCCCGUACUUGCCAUGGAAGUACCGUGCUUUGUGAUACACGCUCCAAGAGUCGAGUAGUUUGGGAUUGCUGCUCAAAGUGGGUGGUAGACUCCAUCUAAAGCUAAAUAUCGGGGAGAGACCGAUAGCGAACAAGUACCGUGAGGGAAAGAUGAAAAGCACUUUGGAAAGAGAGUUAAAAGUACGUGAAAUUGUCGAAAGGGAAGCACUUGAAGUCAGCCAUGCUGCUUGAGACUCAGCCUGGCUUUUGCUUGGUGUAUUUCUCGGUAGCAAGCCACCAUUGGUUUGUGUCGUCGGAGAAGCGUAUGGGGAAUGUGGCAUCCUCGGAUGUGUUAUAGCCCCGUGCAGGAUACGACGACGUACACCAAGGAACGCAGUGUGCCCUUUGGGCGGGUCUUCGGACACCUUCACACUUAGGAUGCUGGCGUAAUGGCUUUAAGUGGC
rnacentral:rRNA from 1 species